CUGACCAGGCUGAAGUACAUUCCUCUGUCCCUCAGGCUCUCUCACCGUACCCAAAAAGAUGACCCAAUUUAGACAGAACUGGUGUAUUUGCUGUGCUUGGCCCUAGUGGAAAAGAAGCUCUGGAGGCACCAAGCACAGAGCCAUCCUCCCCUCAUCAAGGACAAGAUGGCUGCUGGUGUGGCCAUUGUUCCUCACAAAAUGUCCACCGUGGUGAUCCCACAGCAAAAUCUCUGCCAGUGCAGGCAUUACAAAAGUUCAGCUGGCUUUUUAUAAUUUUGCUCUUGCCCAUGCCAGGAGUUUAUUCUCUGUUGUUGCAAAUGUGGUCUCUGCCUGCUGAAGGGAGGUGGGCCUGGCACUUCCCUUCAGGGUGCGUUAAUAAUCCUCCCACAAGGGCAAUGUGAGGAGGAAAGAUCACAGGCUCCCAGCCUCACUGGCCCUUCUCUCACUGCAAAGGAAACUCCAGGCUGCAUUUUUCCUAAAGUGCCAUUUUCUGGAGGCAUGCCAUUAGAUGUUGUUUCAUUCAAGAUACAUGCUUCUAAUCUUACAGGAAAUGCAGAGAUCCUGCUAUCAUCUACAGCCCUCCUGAGACCUCAGUUAGAGCAUCAUUGUCAUCCACAAUUAAGAAAGACCAAUUCUAACUGAAAGAAUAAUGAAGGCCAACACAGUGAUGUUAUGAGUGGAGAACCUGUCUUUAAGUGGAGUAACUAAAAGAGUUUGUCUCAGGAAAACAAAGAUUAAAUCUUGUAUGGUUACUUGGCCUAAAUAUAUUGGCACCUAUGCUCCAGAGAGAUAUAAGUACUGAGUACCUAAAUGUGGGUAAGGAACAAUCAGUUAUUUACAGACUUUGAGGGCUGAAAAUUGCAAUGUGAAUAUAUAAUCAUUAGAUUUUGGAAUAAGAGGAAAUAGAGAUAUGACAAUGGAUAAGAUGGAAGGGAGAAUAUUAGAGAAUAUUAGAGUUAGGACAAUGGAGUUUGUUUUCUGAAAAUGGAUUUUGAUUAGUUUAUGAAAAGAGCUAUUCAAAUGCCUCUUGAAGAUCUCAAUAAAUUUGAUUUGGUGACCCAGAAACUUCCCAGUUUUGUGCUCUCACGACGAACUAGCUGCCAUAAAACAAAGGUUACACAGAAUGAGUCUUACCUAUGAAUAAUAGGCAUUUUAUCUCUAUAUUGCUUGUUUAUUGCUUGUUGGAAUGUGUUUGGACUCAAAUCCAGUUAAGUGUUUAGGGUCUCUUAUUAAUCUACUAAGUUCCUACUAGAUUCAAUAAUUACUUUAUUUGGGAAUGAAGGCACUUUAAAAAGAUUUAAGGAGCUCACAUUUCAAAUGGAAACUCUGUCACAUACAACACAGGAAAAGGGCAAGAUAAGAACACAGGGAGGAUGAUCUUGUAAAGAACAGAGCAGUGUUGUCCAUAAUAAACCUUUAUCCGCUUUAAAGAAUUCCAAAGCUGAAAGACCUCUAACUUUACCUGCACUGUAUUAAAAAAAAAAAAAAAUUACCUACAAUAUUAACCUCAAUAACAAGUAUUGUACUUGACUAUAA